rnacentral:misc_RNA from 1 species
CAACGAAGUCAUGUUUUGAAUGGGUUUAUGAAUUGGUGAUGUGUUUGCUGACAAUCCCUCACUUCUCUCCUAUCCAAUUCUGUGGCAAUUCAGCACUGAUUUACAUUUGUAAUAAUUUUGUUUAUUUGUGAUUUGAGGAUUAUUUUCUCCCAUUUAGCGGUGAGACAACUCGACAUGGAAUGUCCUUGUUAGAUCAUAGCUUUUGCAAGUUCACUGUAAAAUGAGUUAUUUGGGCGUUGCAGAGGAUGUAAAAUGCUCUACUGAAAAUUUUUGAAAUACGCUA